AGGUCCCCUUCCACGCUGUGGAAGCUUUGUUCUUUUGCUCUUCACAAUAAAUCUUGCUGCUGCUCACUCUUUGGGUCUGCACUAUCUUUAUGAGCUGUAACACUCACCGUGAGGGUCUGUGGCUUCAUUCCUGAAGUCAGUGAGACCACAAACCCACUGGGAGGAACAAACAACUCUGGACACGCCAACUUUAAGAGCUGUAACAUUCACUGCGAAGGUCUGCGGCUUCACCUCUGAAGUCAGCGAGACUAUGAACCCACUGGAAGGAAGAAACUCCAGACACAUCUGAACAUCUGAAGGAAGAAACUCCAGACACACCAUCUUUAAGAGCUGUAACACUCACUGCAAGGGUCUGCGGCUUCAUUCUUGAAGUCAGCAAGACCAAGAACCCACUGGAAGGAAACAAUUCCGGACACAUUUUGGUGACCCAGAUGGGACUAUCACCAAGUGGAUCGAGGCCAUCAAGCUACAGAUGAUCUUACAAAUGUAACCCCAAAUGAGCUCAACUAACAACUUCUGCUGAGGACCCCUGGACCGACCCGCUGGCCCUUUCAAUGGCCUAAAGAGCUCCCCUCUGGAGGACACUACCACUGCAGGGCCCCUUCUUCACCCCUAUCCAGCAGGAAGUAGCUACAGCGGUCAUCGCCAAAUCCCAACAGCAGCUGGGGUGUCCUGUUUGGAGGGGGGAUUGAGAGGUGAAGCCAGCUGGGCUUCUGGGUCAGGUGGGGACUUGGAGAACUUUUGUGUCUAGCUAAAGGAUUGUAAAUGCACCAAUCAGCACUCUGUGUCUAGCUAAAGGAUUGUAAAUGCACCAAUCAGCACUCUGUAAAAUGGACCAAUCAGCAGGAUGUGGGCGGGGUCAAAUAAGGGAGUAAAAACUGGCCACCCGAGCCAGCAGUGGCAACCCACUCGGGUCCCCUUCCACACUGUGGAAGCUUUGUUCUUUUGCUCUUCACAAUAAAUCUUGCUGCUGCUCAUUCUUUGUGUCCACACUACCUUUAUGAGCUGUAACACUCACUGCGAGGGUCUGUGGCUUCAUUCCUGAAGUCAACAGACCACGAACCCACUGGAAGGAACAAAGAACUCCCGAUGUGCUGCCUUUAAGAGCUGUAACACUCACUGCGAAGCUCUGCAGCUUCACUCCUGAAGUCAGUGAGACCACAAACCCACCAGAAGGAAGAAACUCUGGACACACCUGAAUAUCUGAAGGAACAAACUCCAGACACACCAUCUUUCAGAGCUGUAACACUCACCGCAAGGGUCUGUGGCUUCAUUCUUGAAGUCAGCAAGACCAAGAACCCACCGGAAGGAACAAAUUCCAGACACAGUAGGAAAUCUGUAUUUUUGAUCUGUGGCUUUCAGGGUUACUCCAGUCAUUGAAGUCUCCAUUGCAGCCUUAAGGAAACAGAGAAUGGUUUGGAGGAGCACAUGUGGGAAUUGUUAUGGACCAGGCUUGAGAUGCACAUAGGGCAUUUCUGAUCAAACCUAGCUGGAAGCAGGGCCAGGAAAUAUAAUCUAAGGAAGACAGUUUUUGUAGACAGUAGUAGUCUUUGCAUCUGAGACAUGUAGAUUAUCAAGCAAUUAAUUAGAAAAAAUAUAGCCAGGUGCGAUGGCUCAUGCCUGUAAUCCCAGCACUUUGGGAGGCCAAGGGGUGUGGAUCACGAGGUCAGGCGUUCGAGACCAGCCUGGCCAACAUGGUGAAACCCCGUCUCUACUAAAAAUACAAAAAUUAGCCUGGUGUGGUGGCACGCAUCUGUAAUCCCAGUACUCAGGAGGCUGAGGCAGGGGAAUCUCUUGAACUUGGGAGGCAGAGGUUGCAGUGAGCCAAGAUCACACCACAGCACUCCAUCCUGGGUGA
rnacentral:lncRNA from 1 species